GGGGGUGUAGCUGGUGGAAAAGCACAUGCUUAGCACGCAUGAGGCCCCGGGUUCAAUCCCCAGCACUGCAA
rnacentral:tRNA from 1 species